GACAGAGGUUGCAAACGUUGUUCGGAAUUACUGGGCGUAAAGGGCGCGUAGGCGGCCGAUCAAGUCAGGCGUGAAAUUCCCGGGCUCAACCUGGGGGCUGCGCUUGAUACUGAUUGGCUUGAAUGCGGGAGAGGAUAGUGGAAUUCCCAGUGUAGAGGUGAAAUUCGUAGAUAUUGGGAAGAACACCGGUGGCGAAGGCGGCUAUCUGGCCCGUAAUUGACGCUGAGGCGCGAAAGCGUGGGGAGCAAACAGG
rnacentral:rRNA from 1 species